rnacentral:tRNA from 1 species
GGCGGCGUAGCUCAGUUGGUUAGAGCGUGGGAUUCAUAAUCGAAAUCCAAAAUUUUUUUGCCGCCU